UUGUUGCAGUUAAAAGCUCGUAGUUGAAUUUCUGGCAUGGGCGACCGGUGCUUUCCCUGAAUGGGGAUUGAUUGUCUGUGUUGCCUUGGCCAUCUUUCUCAUGCUAUUUUUGGGAAGAAAUCUUUCACUGUAAUCAAAGCAAAGUGUUCCAAGCAGGUCGUAUGACCGGUAUGUUUAUUAUGGGAUGAUAAGAUAGGACUUGGGUGCUAUUUUGUUGGUUUGCACGCCUGAGUAAUGGUUAAUAGGAACAGUUGGGGGUAUUCGUAUUUAGGAGCUAGAGGUGAAAUUCUUGGAUUUCCAAAAGACAAACUAAAGCGAAGGCAUUUACCAAGCAUGUUUUCAUUAAUCAAGAACGAAAGUCUGGGGAUCGAAAAUGAUUAAAUACCAUCGUAGUCUAAACCGUAAACGAUGCCAACUUGCGAUUGUUGGGUGCUUUUUUAUGGGCCCC
rnacentral:rRNA from 1 species